rnacentral:rRNA from 1 species
CCUACGGGUGGCAGCAGUGAGGAAUAUUGGUCAAUGGUCGAGAGUCUGAACCAGCCAAGUAGCGUGAAGGAUGACUGUCCAAUGGGUUGUAAACUUCUUUUAUAUGGGAAUAAAAACGGGUAUGCAUACCCUCAUGUAUGUACCAUAUGAAUAAGCAUCGGCUAACUCCGUGCCAGCAGCCGCGGUAAUACGGAGGAUCCGAGCGUUAUCCGGAUUUAUUGGGUUUAAAGGGGGCGUAGGUGGGUUGUUAAGUCAGGUGUGAAAGUGUGCGGCUCAACCGUAAAAUUGCAGUUGAAACUGGCAGUCUUGAGUACAGUAGAGGUGGGCGGAAUUCGUGGUGUAGCGGUGAAAUGCUUAGAUAUCACGAAGAACUCCGAUUGCGAAGGCAGCUCACUGGACUGCAACUGACACUGAUGCUCGAAAGUGUGGGUAUCAAACAGGAUUAGAUACCCUGGUAGUC